rnacentral:rRNA from 1 species
GAUGAACGCUGGUGGCGUGCCUAAUACAUGCAAGUCGAGCGAAUGGAUUAAGAGCUUGCUCUUAUGAAGUUAGCGGCGGACGGGUGAGUAACACGUGGGUAACCUGCCCAUAAGACUGGGAUAACUCCGGGAAACCGGGGCUAAUACCGGAUAACAUUUUGAACCGCAUGGUUCGAAAUUGAAAGGCGGCUUCGGCUGUCACUUAUGGAUGGACCCGCGUCGCAUUAGCUAGUUGGUGAGGUAACGGCCCACCAAGGCAACGAUGCGUAGCCGACCUGAGAGGGUGAUCGGCCACACUGGGACUGAGACACGGCCCAGACUUCUACGGGAGGCAGCAGUAGGGAAUCUUCCGCAAUGGACGAAAGUCUGACGGAGCAACGCCGCGUGAGUGAUGAAGGCUUUCGGGUCGUAAAACUCUGUUGUUAGGGAAGAACAAGUGCUAGUUGAAUAAGCUGGCACCUUGACGGUACCUAACCAGAAAGCCACGGCUAACUACGUGCCAGCCGCCGCAGUAA